ensembl:lncRNA
GGAACCUGCACGCACAGAUGGAUGCCAAGAUCCGCUCCUUCCUCUGUCUGGCAAGCUCUGCUGACCCCUGAGGGGUCCCCCGUUCUGAUGGGAUCUCCGUGCCUUCUGCUGAUCCCAGAGAACAUGGGUUUGUUCUCUUAUAUCCAGUAACCCGAAUGUAGUCUAGUAAGGUUUGCUCAAGUGAGAUGGAAAAUGAAGAGGUAGGCUCCAAAACAGACUUGCGUAUUGGAGACUUAUCCACCACAUGGUGAUGCCUUCCCUGACCUCCUUGAUUGCAGUGUGGGAUGUGCCCUGAUCCUUGGAAAGGGGUGAGUGAUUCCUUCAUCCUUACUAGAAGGUAAUCUCUACUUACCUUUUCUUGUGUCCAUCAGGUGGCACUGGAGAGUUGUGACCCUGCUGAGCAGUGCAAGGACUCUACUGAGGCUCUUGGUGGACACAGCGAGAACCCACA